rnacentral:lncRNA from 12 species
AAAUGUGCACUUAAAAGGGAUGGUCUGAGUUUAUUUGCUGAAUGGAGAUACUUCGAACUCAGGUCUGGCCAAUAAAGAAUUUGACUAUAAUUGCAAGUGGUUGAGAUUAUCCAUUUGUUCUUCAGUUAACACUUGAUGCUGAUCCUUCACCCCAGCCAGUCCCCCCAUUCCCACCCAAAGCAGAGACUGAUGCACAAGAAGAGAAAUGACAAACAUAGGAACCUGACACUGCUGUUGGGAAAAUGGAUAAAAGUUCUACUUUUCUUGAAGGUUAUUAAAAUCAAGAUUGACAUAAACAAAGUCAGUGUGUUUGAAAGAAGAAGAAGAAAAAAGAGUAAUGGUAAAUUUGAGCUUAGAUCAAGAACUGUCAUUCUGGCUUCUAGCAGAAAACUUUCCCAAACAUGAAAGAGAAGAGGCAAAAGCAAGGAAGAGAAUGUUGUGUGUCUGUGAACAGACAUUCAAAGGUAAGUUUUCAGGGAAUAGGGAAAGUUCUGGCAAGUUUAAGCAGCAUACUUUCACUGUAUCUUGAAGGGCAUGGACUGCAGUACAUGUAUUAAUGUUGCAGGUCAGGUUCCCCAGGAAGUUGCCCAGGAAAUGGAGCUUAGUCCACAAAUAGUUUUGGGGGGAGUUGCUGUCAGGAUUAGCUUCUGUGCAGGAUUGUAAGGAAGCAUAGUAGGGCCAAGGGAGAAACUGAGCUGUGGUGCAGCAACAACACCUAGGGCAGGCCCAAGGGGAGCCCUAAGGUCAGAAUGGCCUUUCGAUACACCUUAAAUACACCUCAAAAAGGGACCAGUGAUACUAUGCAAUGUGGCUCUCUUUAGGGGACAGCAACUUCCAGAGAGGACUGGCAGCUGAGAGUUCUCAGCCAGCAACACAUUCAGCAGUUAAGGGGAUUAGUCCUUCCUUGUUGGAAGAGGAAUCCAGGCAGGGUAGUACAGCAUCCAUUAUUGUCCAUUUGUACAAGUCUUUGCUCCUCUUGCUUUACCUAAGCCCCAAAAGUCAUUCCUCCAGGACUAUGGUGAUUGUUUUUCCUAGGGUAGACUUACUAGAGGAAAAUUAAAAGAAAAAACUGUAGUUCUCACUGGUGCAUGUGGGAUUGAAGCUACAGUUAUGAUAAGUUAUUGUCUCCUUAUUCCACAAUCUAUCCUAGAUUCUUCUUCCACAGCUAGUAUCUCUGCUGGUCUUAGUGGCUUAGCUGGUGGAGCAACUCAAAGUCAUAUCUGAUUGCCUAAACCCUGGGUCAUUAAGCCCUUUUGAAAUUGUGGCUACUACUCUAUUUGUCCAUUUACCAUCCAAAUUAGGCAAAGAAGUACUACGAGAUAACCAUACACCAUAUUCUUCCCUGUCCGCAAUAUGUCAUAAAGCCUUCCUCCUGAUGAUCAGAUCAAUCGCCUCUAUCAAUAUG